AAUCUUAGACAAUGGGCGCAAGCCUGAUCUAGCCAUGCCGCGUGAGCGAUGAAGGCCUUAGGGUUGUAAAGCUCUUUCACCGGGGAAGAUAAUGACGGUACCCGGAGAAGAAGCCCCGGCUAACUCCGUGCCGGCAGCCGCGGUAAUACGGAGGGGGCUAGCGUUGUUCGGAAUUACUGGGCGUAAAGCGCGCGUAGGCGGAUUGUUAAGUCGGGGGUGAAAUCCCGGGGCUCAACCCCGGAACUGCCUCCGAUACUGGCAGUCUUGAGUCCGAGAGAGGUGAGUGGAAUUCCGAGUGUAGAGGUGAAAUUCGUAGAUAUUCGGAGGAACACCAGUGGCGAAGGCGGCUCACUGGCUCGGUACUGACGCUGAGGUGCGAAAGCGUGGGGAGCAAAC
rnacentral:rRNA from 1 species